GUUGGGAUAGCUCAGUCUGGAGAGCAUGCGACUCUGAAUCCCAGGGUCGUGGGUUCGAGCCUCACACUGGGCA